GUUUUCGGUCUCCUACCACGACCUGAAAUCUUCCUAAAUAAGCUCUUGUUUCUUUUGUCAUUAAGAUCAUUUGGCACCGUAGGGGACAAGGACUCUCAGGAUGACAUCAACCCACUUUGGAGUUUACAGAUGUGGAAGAAAAAAAGAUGUAUUUGUGUAUCCCUUUGAGAGGUCAGUGAUCAGGUGCAAAACGAGUAUUAGAAUAGAGGUCUGCAGCCAGCUGAGAGGGUAGGUCUUCGCUGCUGAUGUGAACUGAUCUAAGGGCAGGUUGACAGCAAGGUGCGUAGCCCGGCCCUCCUCCCCCUGCGCUGGCUGCCUGUUCGUGCCCUGCAGCUGGCUGUUGGUGGCUGCCGGUGGCCAGAUCAGAAAGAUGACAAAUUCAUCGAGCUAAUGUCUAAUUGUCCAUUUUCAGGUGCUCUUUCCUGAGCUUGACUUCAUCUUUCUUGAUGAACAGUGAUUUAAAGUGUUUUCCCACUCUGAUAACUGCAUUCAAUUCACUACUGCAGUGGAAUUAAUGAACGGGUUUGAUCAAUCAUAAUUUUCUGUAAUUCUAAUAGUUUUCUAAGAUUAAACUGAUGAGGAAAAAAUGUUCCUUGCAGAAGUCAGCUGUCUGGCAUUAUCUCAUAACAAACCAACUCCUGAAAUACACUCAGUGAGUUAUGCAGCUCCUUAACCAGGCUAGAUUAAUC
rnacentral:lncRNA from 1 species